CCCUUGACCGCCCUUCCCGGUCCCGGCCAGCGUGCGGGGCAUCUGUCGUCAGGUCCGCACUUCCUCCAGGCCUUUGACUUUCCCGUGGAGAUGUCUCUGGCCUCAGGAACUCCCUAAGCUGUGUGCUUCAGGAGAGGCUGGUUCCUGAGUCACCCAAGAGGACUGCAACCAACCUGGACCUCCUGAGAUGCAAAGAGAUCGCAGGGCCUGGGAGGCGGCGAGGACCCUGAGAACAGGCUGUGGCUCCGAAGAGUGUUUGUUACCAAGCCAGGCAACCACUGCGAACACACCGCAGAAACAGCCACGGAUCACCGUCCAGCAAAGGAAGAAGGUCCACACUACCUUUAUGAGCUUUAACACUCACAGUGAAGGUCUGCAGGUUCACUCCUGUAAACCAGCGAGACCAGGAAGCCACCACAAGAAACAACUCUGGAGCCGCCACCUUUAAGAGCCAUAACACUCACUGUGAAGGUCUGUGGCUUCACUCCUGAAGUCAGCGACACCACGAACCCACAGGGAGGAGCAAACAACUCCAGACGCACCACUUUUAAGAGGUGUAACACUCCCUGCGAAGGUCUGUGGCUUCACUCCUGAGGUCGGCGAAACUACGAACCCGCUGGGAGGAAGGAACAACGCGGAUGCGCCACCUUUAAGAGCUGUAACACUCCCUGCGAAGGUCCGCGGCCUCACUCAUCAAGUCGUGCAUAGACCACGAACUCUCUAGAAAGAAAAAACUUCGGACACACCUGAACAUUUGAAGGAACAAACUCCGGACACACCAUGUUUAAGAACUAUAAUGCCGUGAAGGUCCGCGGCAGGACCGGGACCAGGAACUCUUCAGAGGGAACCAAUUCCGGAUACACAGCUUCGUGGAAUGGUUCUGCACUGUGUGUGUGUGUGUUUCCCGUCAACCCUGUGCACACUAUUAGAAGAACACAAGCGUUAAGGCUCCCUCUCAGUCCUGCCGAUGGAAGACAUUGUGAUUUUGACCUUGUUGGAUGCUGCACCUGAAGGUGGAGGAAGAGGAAGAGCCUUGGGGGCUACCAUUCUGGCUGGAGAAGCGGCACGAGGCUCCCUCUUGUGGAUGCAGCAAGGAAAAUGCCCUCUAUGAGAAGAAUUCUGAUGCCAACACCAAUCCAUUUCUGAAAUCUACUUCGAUUCAUCUCUUGGGUAGCCUCGGUUGGGCUCCACUAUCCCUGCUCCAGUACCCACUCCCAGCACUUAAGAAUGUCUCCUGUCUGGCUCCAGCAUGAAGGUAACAGAGAAGGAAGAUCUGGAUUUCCGGCAGAUUAAGUGGAGGAGAGAAGAGAGGGACCGAGGAAGAAAAAAAAGGCCGUGGACAAAUGAAAACUGUCUUGUGAACAUAAAGUGAUUGACAUAGAUCACAUCACCUGGAUUAUGAUGAUUUAAAAGGCAGUUCACACACAGAAAUCCCAGAAAGGUUUAGAGCAAAAUAAUGACUUUCAGAGAAGACUGUGAAUUUGGAUCUCUACAUUCCAGUACACUUAUGGGGGAAAAGAAAGUGCUUUUAACUUACAAGUAUUCUGAAUAGUCACUCUUUCGGAGUCUUUUUUUUUUUAAUUGGAAAGUAACAUUUUUCCAUUAGAGGAUUCAAUUCUACUACUGCUGCAAAAGAAUUAUUUCUGGAGUCAGAAUCAAAUCAACCUUUAUAAUCAGUCUAAUGAGUCAGACCCACUGAUAUAUAUUAGUGGACCUGGCUUCUGUUCUAGGUCAGGAACUGAGAGCUCCUGACACUUUGUAAUAGUGUAAUAGGGGAUAAAAUGUCAGAAAUUUCAGUGAAAAUGGAGGUUAAGUUGUGCAUUUUAAAAGCAAUUUUUAGGUAUAAGGUAGUAAGUAGCUAGUACUUAUGUGCCAGCAGUUCAGAAAGCAAAACCCAAUGGCCAAUUAUUCUUUGCUUUGUACAUUUGGGGACUAUAAGCAGACGGACACUAAGGAGCACACAUCCCUGGAUUUAUUUCUCAAAACAUAUCGCACAUUCCUAAUUUUCCUCACAGAUCUUUUUAAAGAUUACUCUCAGAAUGUGCCCAAAGAGUCCCUGAACAAAUGCUAUUCAUUUUGGUAAAUAUAACAAAAAUCAUUAGAAGAUAUCAGCAUUUUAAAUAGCGAUUAUAAUCCGGUGGUUGACUUCUGUAUUGCCCUGUUCGGUAUCUAUAUGUUUUGUAAAGGCUUACAUUGACUUGUUUACAGAUAUACCAUUUGCAUUUAGCUAAUUGUGACGUCUGUGGUCAUUUUCUAUAAAGAGGUUGGUCUUUAAGCUGUUGGUAAUGAAUGUGGCUUAGUUUCUACUGGAAAAUCUGAUUCAGCUUACAUCAUUUUGACUUAUAGCACCUUUGCCAGGAAUGAAAUCUAAGAGUGCAAGACUGCCUUGUUUUUCCCCAGGUCUGCAGAGGCCUGUUGCUUUUAAUGGGUUGUGUGUAGGACACAAGGAUGUGACUCAUCUAUCCACUUAAGAGUCAUAAAACAGUAAUGCAGACAGCUCAGCGUCAGUCAUAACGUUCAUUGUAUGCACCAUACUGAAUGGGCAUUACCAUUUAGUUUUUGUUAUUUUACAGGAAAGUGGGCAUUGGUACCCAGUGGACAAACAAAAUAUUUAUUAAGCUUAUUGUCAUCAAUGUCAUUAAUAUAACUGUUUUCAGUGAGCGUAGAACAAGUGUGUGGAGCUAUUUGUUGUCAACUGAACAUCCCUGCCACCCCUUCUAAUGUCUCCCUGCUCCAUGGAAGAGAAAUCAGGACUGUAGUUGUAAUUUGCAGAAUUCUCUUCUCUGUGAGGUUCAGGAGAGACCAUCCAGGAAGACGCACUUGUAUGAGGAAGGAGGAAGGCAAGGCCAGUAUUCUCCAGUGGCAGUUGUAGGCACACGCAUGGAGAGAUGUAAGGUUCAAAGCAGCUUUCAGAUGAACUUUUGGAGAAUUGCCUUUUGUGCUACGAGAGGGGAUAGAUGUCUAGAGCAUCUCUCGACUCACAAGUUUUGCAGUUUUCCAGGUGAGCUCCUGGGAAUCGUGUGCUUCAGUGCUCCAAGCAGAGUGUUAACAAUGGCCUCCUUGACCUUUGCUUCCCUAACAGUUGCAGAAGCUUCACUUUCUUGUCUAAAACUAUUAAUAUUUGGAAGACACAGAGUGGCUUCUAUUUUCCUGAUAAAAACGUGGCUGAUAUAAGAAGUAAUUAUUUAAAAAUUAAUAAAAAAUUAGAAAAGGUAGAAUGCAUAAAUCAUAGAUUAAAAUAAACUGCCAGUGGGCUAUGGUUACUAUAAAAAUAAGAUGGUCAAAGGCUGAUCAAAUGGAAGAAUGAAUAAAUAAAAGUCAUUCAAAUAAUCAAUCAAUUAUAGAACAAUCAAUUAAAUAUAUUAAAUAUUAAGUUUAUGUAAUUAUAAUUUAUCUAUUAUGUACAUAUUA
rnacentral:lncRNA from 1 species